GUUCCUCGUGGGCCGGGUCUGUCUGUCUGUCCGCAGCCUCGGCAGGGGACGGACUGGUUCCUGCCUGUGGUGGUGUGGUCGGUGCGCGGAGGCUCCGUGAGUUCGCGUUCUCUCCUGCGUGGACUGGGUUGUGGUCGGUGCGCGCGGGUUAAAGAAUAGCCUCUUGAGGAAGUUUUACUGAAGAGGUGCUGCGGUGGAGGAAGGCGAAGAAUACAGUUACUUGAUGACACUGGUGUUUGUGAGCUGACUUCUUUCAUCAAAUACUAAGACUGGUAAGAUCAUGGACAUGUAUGCCAGAGCUCAGGGCAAUCGAAUGAAACCAAGAAUAUCUGUGAAAAAGAGUUUUGGUGAAGGUAUACUGCACUCUAUGAAGUCACUGCUACACAGCAGGAAAGAGUUAUGCAAGGUAUCAGCAGAGGAAUGCCUAAAUCGGGAAGAAGAAGAUAAUUUUAUUGAGGUUUGGCAUAAUGUUACCAUUUAUAUAUAUUUUUGUGGCUAUGAUAGAAAACAGUU
rnacentral:lncRNA from 1 species